rnacentral:rRNA from 1 species
GACGAACGCUGGCGGCGUGCUUAACACAUGCAAGUCGAACGGAAAGGCCCUGCUUUUGUGGGGUGCUCGAGUGGCGAACGGGUGAGUAACACGUGAGUAACCUGCCCUUGACUUUGGGAUAACUUCAGGAAACUGGGGCUAAUACCGGAUAGGAGCUCCUGCUGCAUGGUGGGGGUUGGAAAGUUUCGGCGGUUGGGGAUGGACUCGCGGCUUAUCCGCUUGUUGGUGGGGUAGUGGCUUACCAAGGCUUUGACGGGUAGCCGGCCUGAGAGCGUGACCGGCCACAUUGGGACUGAGAUACGGCCCAGACUCCUACGGGAGGCAGCAGUGGGGAAUAUUGCACAAUGGGCGGAAGCCUGAUGCAGCAACGCCGCGUGCGGGAUGACGGCCUUCGGGUUGUAAACCGCUUUCGCCUGUGCCGAAGCGUGAGUGACGGUAAUGGGUAAAGAAGCACCGGCUAACUACGUG